rnacentral:rRNA from 1 species
ACUGAGGGAAACUUCAGCUAAUACCGGAUAAGCCCUUACGGGGAAAGAUUUAUCGCCGAAAGAUCGGCCCGCGUCUGAUUAGCUAGUUGGUGAGGUAAUGGCUCACCAAGGCGACGAUCAGUAGCUGGUCUGAGAGGAUGAUCAGCCACAUUGGGACUGAGACACGGCCCAAACUCCUACGGGAGGCAGCAGUGGGGAAUAUUGGACAAUGGGCGCAAGCCUGAUCCAGCCAUGCCGCGUGAGUGAUGAAGGCCCUAGGGUUGUAAAGCUCUUUUGUGCGGGAAGAUAAUGACGGUACCGCAAGAAUAAGCCCCGGCUAACUUCGUGCCAGCAGCCGCGGUAAUACGAAGGGGGCUAGCGUUGCUCGGAAUCACUGGGCGUAAAGGGUGCGUAGGCGGGUCUUUAAGUCAGGGGUGAAAUCCUGGAGCUCAACUCCAGAACUGCCUUUGAUACUGAAGAUCUUGAGUUCGGGAGAGGUGAGUGGAACUGCGAGUGUAGAGGUGAAAUUCGUAGAUAUUCGCAAGAACACCAGUGGCGAAGGCGGCUCACUGGCCCGAUACUGACGCUGAGGCACCAAAGCGU